rnacentral:rRNA from 1 species
AGUGAACGCUGGCGGUAGGCCUAACACAUGCAAGUCGAACGGCAGCACAGUAAGAGCUUGCUCUUACGGGUGGCGAGUGGCGGACGGGUGAGGAAUACAUCGGAAUCUACUUUUUCGUGGGGAAUAACGUAGGGAAACUUACGCUAAUACCGCAUACGACCUACGGGUGAAAGCAGGGGAUCUUCGGACCUUGCGCGAUUGAAUGAGCCGAUGUCGGAUUAGCUAGUUGGCGGGGUAAGGGCCCACCAAGGCGACGAUCCGUAGCUGAUCUGAGAGGAUGAUCAGCCACACUGGAACUGAGACACGGUCCAGACUCCUACGGGAGGCAGCAGUGGGGAAUAUUGGACAAUGGGCGCAAGCCUGAUCCAGCCAUACCGCGUGGGUGAAGAAGGCCUUCGGGUUGUAAAGCCCUUUUGUUGGGAAAGAAAAGCAGCAGGUUAAUACCCCGCUGUUCUGACGGUACCCAAAGAAUAAGCACCGGCUAACUUCGUG